ACCAGGCCCGUGGAGCUCCUGGGAGGCUCAGCACCCAGAUAUGAGCCCCUAGCUUCCCCGCUGGCGGUGGAGGGCACGGAAGUGACCCCGGCUCUGUGCUCCCACGUUGACCACACGUCAACCCGAAGACCGCUUUGGAAAGGAAAGUUUGAAAGUGGAGAAAUGUACCAAGAAAAUUAAAAUCACCUGCAUCCUUGCCACCCAGAAAAAGACACACAAAGAAUUUGCUUGCAAGACUGGAGACCCAGGUUUGAUUCCCUGAGUCAG